UUUUCCUCUCUCUCCUAGUCUGACUCUCUCUUUCUCUUACUUUGACUUUUGAUGAGAAUGAUGACGGGGAUUGUGGGUGACUUGCAGUGGGUCUCAUAAGGGAUCUUUGGAUUUCUAUCACGCCUACAUCAAAACAUAUGCAUCAUCUCCGUAGGACCAAUGACUUACGAGGUCCUAUACGACCAAGAUCAAUACCGAUCUACACAGUUAGAGUUAGGGGAGGCCUCGAAUAUUAAUGUAAUUAAUCACACCCGUGCAAGUUCAGGUUAGAAUUUGACAGAUCCAUGUGUUCAAGACUAUGUUCAUCAAGCAGGCUUUUUUUGAAUGUUCAAAGGUGCAAUGGAUAAGGCUCGAUUGACCCGUCUUGAUAGCUUUGGUUGACCGAUGGAGACCUGAGACAAACACAUUGCACUCAUGACAAGGAGAGACAAGUAUUACUUUGCAGGAUGUAGGGGUUGUUUUUGGCCUCAAAGUAAUGAGAAUACUGUUAUGGGUACCUACGACUUUAAUUGGGUAGGAGUGUGUGAAGGUCUAUUGGGACAAGCUCCUGAUAUGAAGGGUGGCAAGGUUAAGCUCAAAUAGCUACAUCAAAAUGACAUGAAUGUACCGAUAGAGGCCACAAAUGAGAUCAUUAAGACAUAUGCUCAACAUACAUAAGGUAUAUUAUCGACACUAUUCUAAUUUCAGAUUCAACCAAGGAUUUAGUGCGCGUUAUACGGUUGCCACUUCUUAUGAAUCUUGAUAAGUAUGGAGAACUAUCAGGGGGAAUUACAGUGCUAGCCUAUCUCUAUAGGGAGUUGGCAAAAGUGGCAUUCAUGCAAAUAAGGAUUUAGUGAAGGUAUAUGGCUUGCAAGUGUCCCGAUCUUAUGCUUUGAAAUUGUCGAGAUACACAUGCCCGAUCGGGUGCUUUGAUAAUUUGGAUUGAAACAACACAUUCUAGAUCCUAUAGAAGAAGAGAGCAAAAUCCCUAAACGUGAGCAUAUCAUUAAAAUUAUGAGAUAAUUUGUCAAUCGUACAUUGAGGAUUGAGAUUUCAGCAAGAGUGCUAUAGUGAUGGAGAGAGGUGGCGUGCCAGACCUAGAUGUGUAUAUACAUUGGUAUGGGGGAUUACUUGCUGAUGGGUAUAUCAGGAGAACAAAUCACCUUCCAUAUAUAUCCGAGAGUCCAAUUGAAAGAAUGUUGGAAGAAGAACUCUAUGAGAGAAUGUUGGAUCCACAGACGGGCAAGACGGUUGGGGCGGGUCUUAGGAGCACAAGCUGUAUUUUCUAAAAUAUCGUCACCUUCCAGGGUCCAUACGUCCACGUUCUCUUGUUGUUUCUGUUCAUCAUAACCCUCUACCUCGCUUCUUGCCAAUUUGUGGCAUAGACGACUUGGUCAUGUGUUUAAUAAAAGGCUGGAGAGUCUUAUUCAGUCUGGAGUACUUGGUUCUGUAUCAUCUAGCUCUAGUAUUGAGUCAUG